GACAGAGGGUGCAAGCGUUGUUCGGAAUUAUUGGGCGUAAAGGGCGCGUAGGCGGCGCUGUAAGUCAGAUGUGAAAGCCCAGAGCUUAACUCUGGAAGUGCGUCUGAUACUGCAGUGCUGGAGUCCCGGAGAGGGUGGUGGAAUUCCCAGUGUAGAGGUGAAAUGCGUAGAUAUUGGGAGGAAUACCGGUGGCGAAGGCGACCACCUGGACGGUGACUGACGAUGAGGCGCGAAAGCGUGGGGAGCAAACAGG
rnacentral:rRNA from 1 species